rnacentral:sRNA from 2 species
UGGAAUCCCUCCACACAUAGAUAGAAGCUAUGCACUAGAUACAUUAUCCCCGUUCCGCCCCCUGGUCGGUCCGCCAUCCCGCACCCCCAGUGACCCAACUAGAGAACGAUGUUCUUCCCCGCCUAAAUGACCGAACCCACCAUUGUCUCUUCAAUUUGAGUUGCCAGAGUAUUCACUUAAUAGGCCUUAUCAUCUUCGGCAGAGGGAACAACGUAGUAGAGGUACUCGCGGCCGCCAGUAACUUCACCCUUGGGAACGAGUUUGCCAGCAGGCUUCUGCAAUAGCUAUCAGCAGUUGUUCGACAACAUCAAAAUCCAAGCCACUGUACUUACGUCAGCGGGUGCGGCAGAGACGAGAGCAGCCGCGAUGAGGAGAGCGAAAGAAUAGAAGGCCUUCAUUUUGAGGUUGGUAGAAUUGUUGUUUUGGAGUUUUUCUUGAUGAAGAAAGGAUUCUUGACGUUGAUGCUUGGAUUUUCUAAUGGAAUCCUGCUGAUGCCGUUUCGAAGUCAGCAAGUUUCUUUAUCGUGGAACCCGGAUUUAUGCUCAGAAAACCGAUUCUUUCCCCAGAUAUUGGGUUACAUUUAAAAACGAAACGCCUUUCCUUAGUAUUUAUGGCGUUAUGACAACUCUCAGACGCAAUCUGUGGGAAGCUGCAGCUAGAUAACGAAAGCCGCGGAUAUCUUGAGCGGGGUUGUUGUCUCCCUGCCUCAGGAGUCGAAUUCCCACUUGGAGUCGGAGGAGGACGACUUUGCGAAGACAUUCUGUGAUAGCCAUUGUAUCCAAAGACCAGAGGCUACACAGAAUGGUGAGUCUGAGCACUUCAGACAUGGGUUCACGUUUGGAUGAAGAAGAGAAUCUCUCUCUUUUGAAAGAAACUGAACACAAAAUUCCUAACCGACAACUUUUCCGGAGUUUGAAUCAUUUUGUUGUCUCAAUUGUGUUGGGUAUCUCUGUGUUUUGCAAUUUCAUACUUCUUGCAGAACAGUUCAAACCCCGAAAUCUGGAUAAAAUAUGCAGCAGACACACCACUCAAUAUUCUUCGCCUGUUUUGAAGGAUGUUGAUAUAACGUAUGAACCUGUCCUCUUCAAUGGCUCUUUCACGAAAGCAACGAUUUACCGACAACCACCAGGGCCACUGGUCGAUGAAGCAUGGCUCGCUCUCGGCACGCGUUUCGCGUCAGUGCUUGUUCCGGAGGAUGAAGCAGAAAAAUACGGAAUUAAACAAGGGCAGGUGAAACGAAUGAAAGAACAAGGUGGAGGCUUUUUCGCGCAUAUUGGGGUUUUUCAUCAUCUCCAUUGUGUGAAUUUGCUCCGUCAAACCUCACAUUUCAAUUUCGAAUAUUAUUCGAAGUUAGGGGGAGGGCCCUUUUUGGAUCCAGAGGAGAGGCUUAAAACACAUAUCGGACAUUGUAUCGACAUGCUUCGUCAGUAUGUUAUGUGUACGGCAGAUGUAGGGCUGUUGCCACAAUGGUGGGUGAAACAUGUUGGACCAUUUGCUGAUUUCAAUACUGUCCACAAAUGUCGAAACUUUGAGGCAAUCAGAAAGUGGACAGAGAAACAUCAGAGCUCCCGUGAAAAUGACAA